rnacentral:rRNA from 1 species
UACAGAGGUCUCAACCGUUGUUCGGAUUCAUUGGGCGUAAAGGGUGCGUAGGCGGUCGCGCAAGUCGGAUGUGAAAUCUCAGGGCUCAACCCUGAAACUGCAUUCGAUACUGCGUGGCUAGAGUGCUGGAGGGGAGACUGGAAUUUACGGUGUAGCAGUGAAAUGCGUAGAUAUCGUAAGGAAGACCAGUGGCGAAGGCGAGUCUCUGGACAGCAACUGACGCUGAGGCACGAAAGCUAGGGGAGCAAACAGG